UACGGAGGGUGCAAGCGUUGUCCGGAAUCACUGGGCGUAAAGGGCGCGUAGGCGGCCUGGUAAGUAGGGGGUGAAAUCCUGCGGCUUACCGCAGGGCUGCCUUCUAAACUGUCAGGCUUGAGCACGGUAGAGGCAGAUGGAAUUCCCGGUGUAGCGGUGGAAUGCGUAGAGAUCGGGAAGAACAUCAGUGGCGAAGGCGGUCUGCUGGGCCGUUGCUGACGCUGAGGCGCGGACAGCGUGGGGAGCAAACAGG
rnacentral:rRNA from 1 species